UACGGGGGGGGCAAGCGUUGUUCGGAAUUACUGGGCGUAAAGGGUUUGUAGGUGGCCUGCUAAGUCAGACGUGAAAUCCCUCAGCUUAACUGGGGAACUGCGUCUGAGACUGGAUGGCUUGAGUUUGGGAGAGGGAUGCGGAAUUCCAGGUGUAGCGGUGAAAUGCGUAGAUAUCUGGAGGAACACCGGUGGCGAAGGCGGCAUCCUGGACCAACACUGACACUGAGGAGCGAAAGCCAGGGGAGCAAACGGG
rnacentral:rRNA from 1 species